rnacentral:rRNA from 1 species
GACGAACGCUGGCGGCGUGCUUAACACAUGCAAGUCGAACGGUAAGGCUCCAGCUUGCUGGGGUCCACGAGUGGCGAACGGGUGAGUAACACGUGGGUGAGCUGCCCUGCACUGCGGGAUAAGCCUGGGAAACUGGGGCUAAUACCGGAUAGGACCUAUGGGUGGUUACUGUGGUGGAAAGUUUUUUCGGUGUGGGUUGGGGUCGCGGCCUAUCAGCUUGUUGGUGGGGUAAUGGCCUACCACGGCGGCGAGGCGUAGCCGGCCUGAGAGGGUGGACGGCCACAUUGGGACUGAGCCACGGCCCAGACUACUCCGGGAGGCAGCAGUGGGGAAUAUUGCACAAUGGGCGGAAGCCUGAUGCAGCGACGCCGCGUGGGGGAUGACGGCCUUCGGGUUGUAAACUCAUUUCCCCAUAGACGAAGGGUUUCUGACGGUAGAUGGAGAAGAAGCCCCGGCUAACUACGUG